GGCUGAGAAAGUGGUGACACCGCCGGGGUGCGGAGGGAGUCCCUGAAACUUCUCCCAACAGCCCCAGGGCCAAUCUCCCCUCAGCCCACUCCCCUCUUCGCCAGCUCCCAGGUCCCCACUCCCUGCGCCGGGGGUGGGGUAGGGAGCCAGGCCCGUCUCCCGCUGGGACACACACAGGGGCCGGGAGCGGGGACGGGACCCCCGAGGCGGGGGGGGAACGGACCGACAGACAGACGGCCGGGCGCCCGCCCCAGCGGGCAGGCAGGCAGGAGGAGGCGGAGGAGGCGGGGGUACGACGGGGAGGACUGGGUCCGGGGAGUUUCCUCUCAACUAUCGGGGGAGAAACUCCCCGCAGCCGGAGGAAAGACCCAGACGGUGUUUUCCUCCCGGGGGCCGCGCUCCCCCGCCCCGCGUUAGCGGCGGUUGCCGCCGCCGCCGCCGCCACCGGCGCCUCCACCUCUACCAUCUCCUCUUUCUCCACCACCUCGGGCCCCGGUGUCCCCGGCCAGCACUAUGCCCAUCUUACUGUUCCUGAUAGACACGUCUGCCUCUAUGAACCAGCGCAGCCAUCUGGGCACCACCUACCUGGACACGGCCAAAGGCGCGGUAGAGACCUUCAUGAAGCUCCGUGCCCGGGACCCUGCCAGCCGAGGAGACAGGUAUAUGCUGGUCACUUUCGAAGAGCCACCCUAUGCUAUCAAGGCCGGAUGGAAAGAAAACCAUGCAACGUUUAUGAAUGAACUGAAAAACCUUCAAGCUGAAGGACUUACGACUCUUGGCCAAUCCCUAAGGACAGCUUUUGAUUUAUUAAAUUUAAAUAGAUUAGUAACUGGCAUAGACAACUAUGGGCAGGGAAGAAACCCCUUUUUUUUGGAGCCAGCAAUAAUUAUUACAAUUACUGAUGGGAGCAAGUUGACUACUACCAGUGGAGUCCAGGAUGAGCUUCAUUUACCUCUUAAUUCUCCUUUGCCUGGAAGUGAAUUGACCAAGGAACCUUUUCGUUGGGAUCAGAGACUCUUUGCAUUAGUGUUGCGGUUGCCGGGGACGAUGUCCGUAGAAUCAGAACAGUUGACAGGUGUGCCUUUAGAUGACUCUGCAAUCACACCAAUGUGUGAAGUGACAGGCGGCCGCUCAUACUCUGUAUGUUCUCCAAGAAUGCUUAAUCAGUGUCUAGAAUCCUUGGUGCAGAAAGUACAAAGUGGGGUAGUAAUAAACUUUGAGAAAGCAGGACCAGAUCCUUCCCCUGUAGAAGAUGGGCAGCCAGAUAUAUCAAGACCUUUUGGAUCUCAGCCUUGGCAUAGUUGUCACAAACUCAUUUAUGUCAGACCAAAUCCUAAGACUGGGGUUCCUAUAGGUCAUUGGCCUGUUCCAGAAUCUUUUUGGCCAGAUCAGAAUUCUCCAACACUACCACCUCGUACAUCUCAUCCUGUAGUGAAGUUUUCCUGUACAGACUGUGAACCCAUGGUUAUUGACAAAUUGCCUUUUGACAAAUAUGAGUUGGAACCUUCACCGCUGACUCAGUUUAUCCUGGAAAGAAAAUCUCCUCAGACAUGUUGGCAGGUAUAUGUGAGCAAUAGUGCAAAAUACAGUGAACUUGGCCAUCCCUUUGGUUACUUGAAAGCCAGUACAGCACUGAACUGUGUCAACUUAUUCGUGAUGCCUUACAAUUACCCAGUGCUCCUUCCCCUUUUAGAUGAUCUGUUCAAAGUCCAUAAGGCAAAACCAACAUUGAAAUGGAGACAGUCAUUUGAAAGUUAUUUGAAGACAAUGCCUCCCUACUAUCUUGGGCCUUUGAAGAAAGCCGUUAGAAUGAUGGGCGCACCUAACCUAAUAGCAGACAGUAUGGAAUAUGGACUUAGUUACAGUGUCAUUUCAUACCUCAAAAAACUGAGUCAGCAGGCCAAAAUAGAAUCUGAUCGAGUCAUCGGUUCUGUAGGCAAAAAAGUAGUACAGGAAACUGGAAUUAAAGUCCGAAGCAGAUCACAUGGUUUAUCAAUGGCUUAUAGGAAAGAUUUUCAACAGCUGCUCCAGGGAAUUUCAGAGGAUGUUCCUCACAGACUGCUGGACCUUAAUAUGAAAGAAUACACUGGGUUCCAAGUUGCUUUGCUCAAUAAGGAUUUGAAGCCACAGACGUUUAGAAAUGCAUAUGACAUACCAAGACGGAAUCUUUUGGAUCACUUAACAAGAAUGAGAUCUAAUCUUUUGAAGAGCACCCGCAGAUUUCUUAAAGGACAGGAUGAAGAUCAAGUGCACAGUGUUCCUAUAGCACAAAUGGGGAAUUACCAGGAAUACCUUAAGCAAGUACCUUCUCCAUUAAGAGAACUUGAUCCUGAUCAGCCUCGGAGGUUGCAUACAUUUGGCAACCCCUUUAAGCUGGAUAAAAAGGGUAUGAUGAUAGAUGAGGCAGAUGAACUUGUGGCUGGGCCUCAAAAUAAGCAUAAACGACCUGGAGAACCAAGUAUGCAAGGUAUCCCUAAGAGACGGCGCUGCAUGUCUCCACUGCUGAGGGGCCGGCAGCAGAGCCCAGUUGUGAACAACCACAUCGGGGGGAAAGGACCACCGGCACCUAUGACCCAAGCACAGCCAGACCUCAUUAAACCCCUUCCUCUUCAUAAAAUUUCUGAAGCCACUAAUGAUUCGACAAUGGAUGAUGUUGUUGAAAACCAUGUUGCAGACCAACUGUCAUCAGAUACUACACCAAAUGCUAUGGAAGCUGAAUUUUCAGGAUCUUCUCCAGCCAACUUACUGGAACGACCAACCAAUCAUACAGAGGCUCUUGGUCACGACCACUUAGGAACUAAUGACCUCACUGUUGGUGGAUUUUUAGAAAAUCACGAGGAGCCCAGAGAUAAAGAACAGUGUCCUGAAGAGAAUAUACCAGCAUCUUCACUCAACAAAGGAAAGAAAUUGAUGCAUUGCAGAAGCCAUGAAGAGGUCAACACUGAACUAAAAGCACAAAUAAUGAAAGAGAUCCGAAAGCCAGGAAGAAAAUAUGAAAGAAUCUUCACUUUACUGAAGCAUGUGCAAGGCAGUUUACAAACAAGACUAAUAUUUUUACAAAAUGUCAUUAAAGAAGCAUCAAGGUUUAAAAAAAGAAUGCUAAUAGAACAACUGGAGAACUUCUUGGAUGAAAUUCAUCGAAGAGCCAAUCAGAUCAACCAUAUUAAUAGCAAUUAAAAGAAAAGAGAAUGUGGCCACUUAUUUCACUACCUUCUCCAAAUACAAAGAGUGGCCCAAGAAGUGACAUUUACAUGUUUGCACAGACGUAGGCUUAGACCCAUAGCCUGGCAUGCCUCGGCAUCCUCAUCUCCUAUACAUUUUAUCUCUGAUGGAACACUGAGGCUUGAAGAGUUUAACGAGCUUGCCCAAGAGGACGUCCUGAGUCUGCGACAGAGCGCGCCUGGACAAGGCUGACGGAGCGCAGAGCCUGUGCUCUCGAUGUCUACACUCUGCCACCUGCCAUCUGCCUCCUGGCUGGCGUCUCACACACAGUAGGGCCUGGACUUAUUUUUAACUCCUCGAGGGAACCCUGCCAAGGCCUCUGGCUCAGCAAUGCAGAGAGCCUGGUCAGUGGAGGAGGCUGAGGUGGCCAGUGGGGAGGAGCAUGAAGAAUCCACACCCUGCAAAUGAACCCUCGGAUAAUUUUUUUUGUUUAACUGCUGGUCUCCAAAUUAAUUACGCAUUUACUCUGAUUUCAAAUGAAGCUUAUCAUUUAGAGAUGCUCCUUGAGGAACCCUUUGUAAAGUAAUGAGUUUUGCAAAUAGGUUUUGCUUUGGAGAAGCAAAAUCCAGCACCAUCAUUUAACUUUUUGACCUCUUGGGGUUUUGUAUUUGUACCUAUUCGGUUUUCUCAAAGAAAGGCUCACCUCUCUUUAGAAAGAAUGAAACCUUCAGUGCAAGGAUGUAAAGGUUUUAUGCUUCAGUUUGCCUUCUGAUGGAAAUUAUAUCUGUAUUUGCUCAACUGCA